UAUACUUUUGCUCUUUAGGUUACUUUGCAUAUUCUUAUCACAGAGAAUUCUUGUUGACUCUCUUCAUGUGGUUCCUAGCAUCCUCAUCUACAUUCCCAUCAUGGAUGAACACUGAUCUGAGACUGGAAGAAACUUGAAGUACAUCCCCUGUACUACACAAUGAGCUGAUUGAUUGGAAGCCCACUGAAGCACGUGAAUUCUCUUUGGAGCAACAAUGUGCCCCAGGAUAUGUGCUGCAAUACUUCAAGCCAGGCAUGGCAUCCACUGGUGCUUCUGGGCUCAAGAGAAAGGAUCAAAUGCAUGUGAAAAUGGUCCCCAAAUCUGUCAGAAUUAUUCGAUAUGAGCAUGCUACAGACUCUAGGUGAACUGAGCAAUUGCUAAGGAAAUGAUUUGUUGCAGUCACAUUUUCCUAUAUGGAAAUGGAAUAUUGACUAUUUCAACUAUGCUACUUUGGGUGACGCCCACUGCUAACACUCCGGGUACAACAAUGGAAAGCCAGACAGGCCCAUUAGCGAGGACAAUGGACUGGGAAAAGGCUUGGCCUUCCUGUGGACGCUCCAUACUGCCACUGACUCAUGGACUCUGAUACUACAGAGUCAGGUGGUCUUGUCACCUGAUACUAAAUAUUACC